CAAAAGGCAACUGAGCGCUGUGAUCGCCACGGAGCAGCCCCAGGCUAUGCCAGGAAUCUUCCUCUUCGGUGGCUGAAAAUACCCAGGCUGCUGCACUUUUUUUAGCCUUUCGACAGAGGAGGUCUGCUAAUCUGUGUACUCUUUGUUGAAUGAAGAGGGUGUUUGCAAAAGAUGUCAACACUGGAGUGGAGUUUGCCAAUGCUGACGUGGUCAUGGCUCAUGGGGGAGCCAAAUGUACUCUGCAAAUACAGAAGAAGUGGUGAUAUCAGAGACCUUUCCUGUGUGAUAGGAAUUCUAUGCUAUUGCAUCCAAGGUGGAUGGAGAAGGGACCUCCAUCCAUUCAUCCAUGCUCAGGACUUUCUUCUCUCACCUCUAGCACCAAUUUCCUUGUGCAAAACAGAGGAAAAUACUCCAUACAGAUGUUUGCUCUGGGAGAAAAAUGUACUGGUGACUGGAGUAACCAGCAGGAUGCACCACGACACUGAAGGCAUUUGAGAAAUACGUAAAGCAAAA